rnacentral:rRNA from 1 species
CGGGAGGCAGCANUGGGGAAUAUUGGACAAUGGGGGCAACCCUGAUCCAGCCAUGCCGCGUGAGUGAAGAAGGCCUUAGGGUUGUAAAGCCCUUUCGCUAGGGAAGAUAAUGACGGUACCAAGAAAAGAAGUCCCGGCUAACUCCGUGCCAGCAGCCGCGGUAAUACGGAGGGGACGAGCGUUGUUCGGAAUUACUGGGCGUAAAGAGUACGUAGGCUGUGUUGCAAGUUGGGUGUGAAAGCCCGGGGCUCAACCCCGGAACUGCACUUCAAAACUGUGACGCUAGAGAUCGUGAAGAGGUAAGUGGAAUUCCCAGUGUAGAGGUGAAAUUCGUAGAUAUUGGGAAGAACACCAGUGGCGAAGGCGGCUUACUGGUCCGAUACUGACGCUGAGGUACGAAAGCGUGGGGAGCAAACACGAUUAGAUACCCUGGUAGUCCACGCCGUAAACUAUGAAUGCUAGUUGUUGAAAAGUAUACUUUUCAGUGACGCAUCUAACGCAUUAAGCAUUCCCCCGGGAGAGUACGGUCGCGAGAAAAAAACUCACAGGAUUUGACGGCUCA